ACAUCCAGAGAACUUAGCAGAGAUGCUUUGGUGCCUUCGGGAACUCUGAGACAGGUGCUGCAUGGCUGUCGUCAGCUCGUGUUGUGAAAUGUUGGGUUAAGUCCCGCAACGAGCGCAACCCUUAUCCUUUGUUGCCGGCGGUCCGGCCGGGAACUCAAAGGAGACUGCCAGUGAUAAACUGGAGGAAGGUGGGGAUGACGUCAAGUCAUCAUGGCCCUUACGAGUAGGGCUACACACGUGCUACAAUGGCGCAUACAAAGAGAAGCGACCUCGCGAGAGCAAGCGGACCUCAUAAAGUGCGUCGUAGUCCGGAUUGGAGUCUGCAACUCGACUCCAUGAAGUCGGAAUCGCUAGUAAUCGUAGAUCAGAAUGCUACGGUGAAUACGUUCCCGGGCCUUGUACACACCGCCCGUCACACCAUGGGAGUGGGUUGCAAAAGAAGUAGGUAGCUUAACCUUCGGGAGGGCGCUUACCACUUUGUGAUUCAUGACUGGGGUGAAGUCGUAACAAGGUAGGCGUACGUGU
rnacentral:rRNA from 1 species